UACAGAGGUCUCAAGCGUUGUUCGGAAUUACUGGGCGUAAAGGGUGCGCAGGCCGCGCGGGCAGUCAAAUGUGUAAUCCAGGGGCUCAACCCCUGAACUGCGCUUGAUACUUCCGCGCUCGAGCUUUGGAGAGGAGUCUGGAAUUCUCGGUGUAGCAGUGAAAUGCGUGGAUAUCGAGAGGAACACCUGUGGCGAAAGCGGCGCACUGGACCAUAACUGACGCUGAGGCGCGAAAGCUAGGGGAGCAAACAGG
rnacentral:rRNA from 1 species